rnacentral:rRNA from 1 species
GACGAACGCUGGCGGCGUGCUUAACACAUGCAAGUCGAACGGAAAGGCCCUGCUUUUGUGUGGUGCUCGAGUGGCGAACGGGUGAGUAACACGUGAGUAACCUGCCCUUGACUUUGGGAUAACUUCAGGAAACUGGGGCUAAUACCGGAUAGGAGCUCCUGCUGCAUGGUGGGGGUUGGAAAGUUUCGGCGGUUGGGGAUGGACUCGCGGCUUAUCAGCUUGUUGGUGGGGUAGUGGCUUACCAAGGCUUUGACGGGUAGCCGGCCUGAGAGGGUGAACGGCGAAAAUGGGACUGAGAGACGGACCAGACUACAACGGGAGGCAGCAGUGGGGAAUAUUGCACAAUGGGCGGAAGCCUGAUGCAGCAAAGCGGCGUGCGGGAUGACGGGCUGCGGGUUGUAAACCGAUUUCGCCUGUGACGAAGCGUGAGUGACGGUAAUGGGUAAAGAAGCACCGGCUAACUACGUG